rnacentral:lncRNA from 1 species
AUCUUAGGGUCAAAAUUAGGGUCUUACAGCUGCCCCUAUUUAAGGACGUUCUAGCUGAGGAGAUGAAGGUUAAAAUCUUCGUAUCGACUCAAUAGAAUGGACUUAAAUAACAACAAUAAAAACAAAUUUUGGUCCCGAAGAGACCUCGUGAUGCAUAUGAUAUCAAAUGUUAAAAAUAAUCCCUAUGGGGAAAAUAUUGCCACAAAGGAAAAGAAUCCGGAGAGACUGAAAGUCUGCAGGAGCAUAAUGCAUUCCAUAAGGAAGACUUAUUGCGGAGACAAAGAC